CGCUCCACUGACUGAGCCGGCCUGGCGCCCUGAACAACAUUUUUUUUUUUUAACUCCGAAAUGGACAAAGGAGGAAGGAAGAGACACCAGGAGACGCGGCCCCACAGUGGACCGAUGUCAGCAUCCCGUGAGCGUCCUCAGGGAGUUUGUGUUUUUAUGCGAAUGGGAUCAUUUUUUUUUCGUGCUGCUGAAGGUUUUUUUGUUUGUUUUUUACUCUUUCUUUAGAAAUGACCACAGGUUCACGGGCACUCGCAAAGGGCGUACAGGGAAGCCCCUACACCCGGCGCCCACUCCGUCCGCGCUGACGCCUAGUGCGGGGCCGGCACGGGGUGGCCGGAGCUCUGAGCCGCUGUGCCACGUGUCCGCGUGUGUGCCCGGCACCCCGUCAGGAUAUGGAGCGUUCCCGUCACCGCGGAGAGCCCCCCCGGCUGACCCGUUGCCACCCCCCACCGCCGGGCCCCACGGAUCUGCUGUCCGUGUCCAUGAGUGUGUCAUCGUGAGAAUGUUCUCUCCCCGCCUUUGGAGAUGCGCUUCUCCCAUGGAGCACAAGCCCCGAGGGCCCACCCGGCCGUUGCCCCUCCGCAGUGUGGCCUUUGUCUCGCCAGGUGGUUUUCUGCGGCGUGCGGGUGCCGGCUGGCUUGCUGAGGGGCCCCUGGGUCGGUGCCCAUCGGGGGCCGUCGUGUUCGUGCGCGGGCUCUGCGCGGAUACGAAAGUCUCACUUCUCUGGGGUGAAUGCCAGGGACGAAUCGGGCAGUUGCCGGGUCACGGCCUGUUUCCCACGCCGUCUGAUGGGCCGUUUCUUCCCUUGUCCCCGGAUACGGACGUGCGUUCUCGCUUAGGGCGGCCCCUCGGGAUCCCCCCACGUGAAAGUGCCAUCCCGAAGGCCACGGGCAGAACCCCAGGAGCUGUGGAGACAGCAGCACGGCAAACCCUGGGUGACAUGAUGCUCCGUGCUGUCCCGACACCAAGGUCGCAUGACAGCGGCAACACCGGGCCUCUGGAACUUUCAGGGAACGACCCGAGUCUGCCCUCAAGCUGCAGAGAGGCCACAGAACAUUUGGAAACAUACCUGGCUCCCUAGGGAUCCGGGCCUGCAUGCCUGGCCUCUUCCUGCUCUGCCUGGGGACCCUCCCUGCCCCAAAAAAGAUUCGUCCAUGUUAUAAACCCUGGAAACUGAUUUUGAGCUUACUUCUUU